UACAUUUAUUAAUUAUAUUUUACCUGUGCAUGUAUUCUAAUUUUAUUAAUUUUCAUAUUCAAUACAGAUUUAUCUAUUAUAGGGAGGAUUUAAACUAUUCUUUUAGAUAGUAAACUAUUACACAAUUAUGUAUGUGGGGAAUAGCUCGUUACACUUUCUGACUUUAUGUGUGGCUUUCUUCAUAGGAAGGGGGAGAAAUAUAGCAACCUACUAUCUAUGGGUUUAAACCUGAUAUUGCUAAAAUUAGUUAGUAUCUUAAAGGUAAACCAAAACAUCAUUGAUAUACACGACAAGGCUAACGGUUAAGCAAUUAGGUACCGAAAUAUAUAUAACUUAGAAUAGCCAUAAUUUUUGCAUAGUAAUUCUCGUGCUACAUUGUUUUUUCCAUGUAUUGUGUAUAGUAACAUACUUGCAUUUUUAAAAUUGCUCGUAACUUAAAAUAAUUCCG